rnacentral:tRNA from 1 species
UGUAAUUAGGUGUAUGUUGCACAUAAAUUUUUGAUAUUUAAAGGUAAGUUUAAUUCUUAGAUUUACAA